rnacentral:rRNA from 1 species
GGGGGCACCCUGAUCCAGCGAUGCCGCGUGAGUGAAGAAGGCCUUCGGGUUGUAAAGCUCUUUAGGUUGGGAAGAAGUCUUGCCUGCUAAUAGUGGGUAAGGUUGACGGUACUAACAGAAUAAGCACCGGCAAACUCUGUGCCAGCAGCCGCGGUAAUACAGAGGGUGCGAGCGUUAAUCGGAAUGACUGGGCGUAAAGGGCGCGUAGGCGGAUUAGAAAGAGAUAUGUGAAAGCCCUGGGCUUAACCUAGGAAGUGCAUGUUUAACUGAUAAUCUGGAGUUUGGCAGAGGGA